rnacentral:rRNA from 1 species
UACGUAGGGUCCGAGCGUUGUCCGGAAUUACUGGGCGUAAAGCGCGUGUAGGCGGCAACGCAAGUCGGGCGUGAAAUCCCACGGCUCAACCGUGGAAGUGCACUCGAAACUGCGUAGCUAGAGUCCUGGAGAGGAAGGUGGAAUGCUUGGUGUAGAGGUGAAAUUCGUAGAUAUCAAGCGGAACACCGGUGGCGAAGGCGGCCUUCUGGACAGUGACUGACGCUGAGACGCGAAAGCGUGGGGAGCAAACAGG